AAGUUGUGAUCACUUAGCAUUGUACUAUAAAAGCACUUUGGAAUCUCAGAAUUAUUAGUCAUUUCAGUCAUAUAUACCCUAGCGAGGUUUCCUCAUCUGUCUUCAUAAAGAAGACAUUACAGGGUCACAAGUCCUCCAAGACCCUCAUGGUACAUGGCACAAGACUCGGAGCCUAUUCGGGUCACGUUACAUUUAGGAUUGGUAAAGGCAGAUGCUCUACCCAAGAGAAAACGACAGCCAUGUAUAGGUGGUGCACCUGCUACCUCAGCAUUUAGGAUGCUGAAGCAAAGGGGACCACAAGUCUGAGGCUAGCCUCCGCUACCUAGUGUAAACCUGUCUCAAAAAAAAAAACCCAAAAAACAACCAAAGUAAAAUCUAGAGAAAUGCUCUCCAGGGAGAUGCUCUGUCCAUUGAAGUAGGGAAAAUGGAUUUUAUAUUUAUUCAAGUUUUCAAAUUUUCUAUUUUUGUAUUACAUAAAAAUGGUAAGUAAAAUAGUUUAUAAAUAAAUACCUAUUUUGGCAAUUUGUUCUCAAAAAUAUUUUGUCAGUAGGACUGCAUGGAGAUCACAAGACUAGAGGGAAGGAGAUAGGAGAUGAAGUUUUUCAUGAUCAAUAUUUCCCACAAUUGAGAUUUUGGUAGAUAUGAAUUGACAGGGAUUAUGUGUGUUAAUUAAUAGUGGUUUUUAAGUAAUAAAAAACUGGAAACAAUGCUGGAAAGAGGGGAAAGGAUCCUGCUUGAAGAUUUAUGUAUGGCCAAAUAAUGCAAAGUUCAUACUUCGAGAUGAGCAUCAUGGUACAGAUCUGUACUCAAAGUACUCAGAAGCUGAGACCUAGCUCCAGAGGUCAGAUGGUUUUCUCCCCCCCCCCCCAAUUAAACAAUUAAG
rnacentral:lncRNA from 1 species